rnacentral:lncRNA from 1 species
CCUUAGAAAUAUGAUAUUUAAACACAUGAAAUGCAAGAAAAAUAUUAUGCAGUACAUAAUGAAAUGAUUUUGGUGCCGGAAAUUGUUCAUCCAAGUAUUUCCCUGAUAACAUGGCAUACUAUUAUGAUAACCAUGUUCAACUAGCUAAGCAAUUAAACCAAAUCCAAUUUUAAAAUAUUAAACCUUGUUAAAAUAAGAGAAGAGAAAGAAAAGAAAAAGUAUAUGUUC